UGUGGAAUAAAAUAAUUAUUUACAGUGUGUUUACUUUUAUUAGAAGUUUAUUUAAUAUUAAUCUUACAAUGUUUAAUCAUUUAUUAUGUCUCACUCAGUCUUACAGAGUCAUUGUUUCUCUUUUUAGCCUUCACAGUUUGCCUCAGUGUGUCAGAAGCUUAGCAACAGGCGAUAAGUAAAUAGUUGUCAUACCUUGCGGAGGGACAAGACCAGACCGACGGCGGAGCGAUUAUUAUUAGACACAGAAUAUUCUGUCUGAAACCCAUUUUUAACUGAAAGUUGCAUUUUUCUCUGUGUGUGUAUUAAUUUGAUUAGCUCCUUGGGAAUGUUGGUGGUGACACUCUGUCUGCGGGAGAAGGACAGUAUACAGUAUAUAUAGAGAGGUGAUUCCUUUGUCUAGUUAGAUCUCUUCUGAGUUCUCCAUCUGUGCAGAUGUGAAAUAAAGCUGUGUUUUGUUCUUUCUCUUUAACAAGGUUUGGACUUUGUUAAUUUUUCUCGCUCCACAAUAUCAAACUCCCAAA